rnacentral:lncRNA from 1 species
UUGAUUUCUCCCCCAGUAUUUCUCUGAGAACAUAGGACUCUAACAGGAGUCCGCUCAGUCAUUCUGGUUUGAUCACAAACCUGAAAUAGGCCUCUGAGGGAGCUCUUGAGAGAUGACAGCAUGCUGGCAGCCCUUGCGGCCCUCGCCCGCUCUCGGCGCCUCCUCUGCCUGGGCUCCCACUUUGGCGGCACUUGAGGAGCGCUUCAGCCCGCCGCUGCACUGUGGGAGCCGCUUCCUGGGCUGGCUGAGACUGGAGCUGGCUCCUUCAGCUUGCGGGCAGGUGUGGAGAGAGAGGAACGGGCGGGAACCCGGGCUGCGCAAG